rnacentral:rRNA from 1 species
UCGAGCGAACAGACGAGGAGCUUACUCCUCUGACGUUAGCGGCGGACGGGCGAGUAACACGUGGAUAACCUACCUAUAAGACUGGGAUAACUUCGGGAAACCGGAGCUAAUACCGGAUAACAUGUUGAACCGCAUGGUUCAACAGUGAAAGACGGUCUUGCUGUCACUUAUAGAUGGAUCCGCGUCGCAUUAGCUAGUUGGUAAGGUAACGGCUUACCAAGGCAACGAUGCGUAGCCGACCUGAGAGGGUGAUCGGCCACACUGGAACUGAGACACGGUCCAGACUCCUACGGGAGGCAGCAGUAGGGAAUCUUCCGCAAUGGGCGAAAGCCUGACGGAGCAACGCCGCGUGAGUGAUGAAGGUCUUCGGAUCGUAAAACUCUGUUAUUAGGGAAGAACAAAUGUGUAAGUAACUAUGCACGUCUUGACGGUACCUAAUCAGAAAGCCACGGCUAACUACGUGCCAGCAGCCGCGGUAAUACGUAGGUGGCAAGCGUUAUCCGGAAUUAUUGGGCGUAAAGCGCGCGUAGGCGGUUUUUUAAGUCUGAUGUGAAAGCCCACGGCUCAACCGUGGAGGGUCAUUGGAAACUGGAAAACUUGGGUGCAGAAGAGGAAAGUGGAAUUCCAUGUGUAGCGGUGAAAUGCGCAGAGAUAUGGAGGAACACCAGUGGCGAAGGCGACUUUCUGGUCUGUAACUGACGCUGAUGUGCGAAAG